CUGAUGGCGACCGGCGUACGGGUGAGUAACGCGUAUCCAACCUGCCCUUUACUAUGGGACAGCCCGUCGAAAGGCGGAUUAAUACCGUAUGUUGUCAUGUUGAUACAUAUUUUCAUGACCAAAGGCUUCGGCCGGUAAAGGAUGGGGAUGCGUCUGAUUAGCUUGCCGGCGGGGUAACGGCCCACCGGGGCGACGAUCAGUAGGGGCUCUGAGAGGAAGGUCCCCCACAUUGGAACUGAGACACGGUCCAAACUCCUACGGAAGGCAGCAG
rnacentral:rRNA from 1 species